AAUAUUGGUCAAUGGCCUAACGGCUGAACCAGCAACUUGCAGGAAUGAGAGUUAAUAUAAAUGAUUUAUUAACUUGCUUGACUAGGUCUUAUAAAGUUCUGGAUAAAGCUGAUAAUGACAACUUUAUAUCCAUAGGUCUCGACUAAAUCUUGUGCCAGCAGUCGCGGUAAGACAAGGGAGACAAGUGUUAUUCAUCUUGAACAGGUAUAAUGGGUACCUAGACUGUGUAUGAAGGCUUUUAUAGUACCUACUACACUAGAGUUUAAUAUGGGAGAGGAAGAUGUCAGAAUUACUGGAGUAGGGAUGAAAUCCUUUAAUACUAAUAGGACUGAUAAUGGCGAAGGCAAACCUCUAUGUAUAUGUGCUUUACUUAGAUUAAAAGUUAAAUGAAAAAUAGUUAAAGAGUAUAAAUUGUUUUAUAUUCAUACAUAUAGCUUAAAAAAGAAUAUGUAAAGAUAUCUAAAAAGAAGGAAGUAAAGGACUAAACUGACGUUGAAGGACGAAGGCUCAGAGAGUGAAGAGGAUUAGAUACCCCCGUAGCCUGGGCAGACAAUGAUGAGUGCCAUAGGUUGGCUUUUAAGUUGAACUAUAAAUGAAAGUGGAAGCACUCCACCUCAAGAGUAAUGUGGCAACGCAGGAACUGAAAUCAUUAGACCGUUUCUGAAACCAGUAGUGAAGUAUGUUAUUUAAUUCGAUGAUCCGCGAAUAACCUUACCACAAUUUGAAUGCUCUAGUUUUUAUAUAGUUAUAACGUGUGAUUAAUAUUUGUUUAAGACAUUUUUAUCUAAGUUUUUGGGUCUUAAACACAUAAUCAUAUGUUAUAAUUAUAUUAUUUAGAUCACAUGCGUUGCAUGGCUGUCUUCAGUUAAUGUCGUGAGAUUUGGUUAGGUCCAUUAAAUUAACGUAAACCCUUGUUUUAUUUAAUAUAAUAAGACAGCUCUCCGCUUACAAUUGGAUAUGAUAAAAGGGACUAAGACAAGUCAUCAUGGCCUUAAUAUUGUGGGCUAUAGACGUGCCAC
rnacentral:rRNA from 1 species